GCUUACGGCCAUACCAACCUG
rnacentral:rRNA from 23 species